rnacentral:rRNA from 1 species
GACGAACGCUGGCGGCGUGCCUAAUACAUGCAAGUCGAACGGAAAGGCCCUGCUCUUGUUGGUUGCUCGAGUGCCGAAGGCGUGAGUAACACGCGAGUAUCCCGUCCUUGUCUUUGUGAUAUCUUUUGGAAACUGGGGCUCUUAUCCGAUAUAAGCUCCUGCUGCAUGUUGUGCAUCGGUAAGUUUCGGCGUUUGGGGAUGGACUCGCGGCUUAUCAGCUUGUUGGUGGGGUAGUGGCUUACCAAGGCUUUGACGGGUAGCCGGCCUGAGAGGGUGACCGGCCACAUUGGGACUGAGAUACGGCCCAGACUCCUACGGGAGGCAGCAGUGGGGAAUAUUGCACAAUGGGCGGAAGCCUGAUGCAGCAACGCCGCGUGCGGGAUGACGGCCUUCGGGUUGUAAACCGCUUUCGCCUGUGACGAAGCGUGAGUGACGGUAAUGGGUAAAGAAGCACCGGCUAACUACGUG